ACCACAAAACACAGAAAGGAAGUGGUCAACUAUUGCACAUACUCAAGCUAUGUAGUCUCAGUUUAUUCCAUUCUUGCAGGAUCAUUGUAGGAAGGCAUAAGAGUCCUGCUUACUGGUGAGCCACUGAACACAAACUCCCUUCUCACCUCUGCCUUGGAUCCCGCCAUGCCUGAGGUCUAGGGCUAGAAGCGUUGUUUCAUCCACAUUAAUUCCGGUCUUGGGCAACGUGGCUAUUUUCUGACCUGUCUGUCUUCCCACCCUAGUGGUGAAUUCUCUUUCUGGGAUCUCAACUCCUUCUCCUGUCACCCAGCUUUUUCCGAGCAACCCCAGUCCAUCUGGCAUAUCAUUAGAAUGUUAAACCUAAAACGGUAAGCCAUUCUGUGAAUACCUUUAAGUAACAGGAUAUUAAAAUGAGACUUUUCCUGUUUUCUCAGUGCUAGCUGACAUCUUUGAGCUGAGAAAAAAAAAUAUUGUUAAAAAUGCUCAUCUAUUCUCAGGAGAUGUCAUCUGCUAAGGAGUGACCAAAAAAAUGGUCCAAUAACCCUGAAACCAUCGCUCAAAUCUUAGCUACGCAAGGGGAGACUUGUAAAUUAAUGAGGACGGCAAGGAUUUCAUGAGACAGAGCUUUCAGGCUGCUAAAAUGCUUCCUCCUCCCUUCUCAUGUGUUUUCCCCUCAUCUUACGCAAAUAAGAGGGGGCCUUCAGAGAAUUACUUGGAGAGCUGACCUAGGACCCCUAGGCUUUGGGGAACAUAGAAUGUAUUAGUGUCUAUUGCUGCUGAAACAAAUUAGCACACAUUUAACAGCUUAAAAAUAGCAAAAUUACUACCUCACAGUUCUGUAGGUUAGAAGUCCAGUGGGCGCGGCUGGUGUGUGGGCUUCAAGCCUCACAGGGCUGAAAUCAAGGUGUUGGCCAGGCUGUACUCCCUCCUAGAGGCUCUAAUGAAGCAUCUGUUUCCAGGCCUCUGCGCCUUGUUGGCGGAAUUCAGUUCAAUUUGCCUGAUGGACUGAGGUCCCUGCUUCCCUGCGGGCUGUCGGCGGGAACUGCCACUGGCUCCUUGCAGCCUCUCUCUGAUUCUUGCACAAGGGCACCUACAUCUCAGAGCCAGCGAGAGUGUGAGUGUGUGGAAUCCUUCUCACGAGGCCUCAUCUCUCUGACUUUCGUCGGGAAAUGUUCUCUGCUUUUAAAGGAUCAUGUAAUUAUUUUGAGCCUACCCGAUAAUCCAGGAUAAUCCCCUCAUCUAAAAAUCUGUUACCUUAACCACAUCUGCAAAGUCCCUGUUGCCGUGUAAUGUAAGCUAUUCACAGGUUCUGGGGAUUAGGAAAAGGACAUCUUUGGUGGGGGCCUUAUUCAGCCUACCACAUAGAGAUUAGUACCUGAAAAGCCAGCAGGUGAGAAGCUAGACAGAGCAGCCGGUGGCAGCUAAAGGAGAAAGGGGGCGAGAGCUGGAGAAGUCGCACUUCCGCCGAUGGCGCAGCAAAGGGGAUGUUGCCCUGGAGGACUCAGGGAACGGAACUGGGCUAUCAGCCGAGAAUGGGGCUCCACUCAAAAGGAGGAACCAACAGGAGACACAAGGAACCCCAGCAGGAAGAAGUCGGAGAUGGAGGAGGGGAAGUCAUAGCUGGAGGAGACGUGUGUUAGGAAGCUACAAUGGCAGCUCCCUAGUGGAGGUGUUUCGGAAAAACUCCGAAGAUUCCACUUGAGAAAAUCAUCGGCCUUCAGACAACGUCUAUGCCAGAUAAUGCUACCAAAUCACAACCUUGCCUUUCCUCCCUACUGCUGUUCUGAUGUGGGAGGACCCAAAGGCAGCAGAAGAGCCAAAGAAGAGUAGCAGAAAGGCAUAUCCACAGCUCUUCAAAUAAGCAAUGUGAUGUUAGCAAAAGUGCAGGGGCUCCUUGAGAACUUUCCAGGGCUAACCAGCUGCUGAGGAGUGGCCUCCAGGAAAGAGAGAAGCACUCUGAUUCAGGCAGUGAUUUACACCUAAAAUACCAACUCCAUCAUAUCUUCAGAACAAUUCUUCUAGACCUUGCAUCUAAAUAUGGAUUAGAUCAAAGAUGUCCCUAAGAAGCGUUGAGAUGUCACAAAGUUCUAGGCACUGCUGCUGUACUGAGAAUACAGCUGUGAACAACAUCCCUGUCGCUUUCGUUCUAGAGAGGAAAAACAG
rnacentral:lncRNA from 10 species